CUAGAGAGAUUCCGAGGGACGUGAGAGCCUCGAACACACACGAGAGCACCAGAUUCUGCAUCGAAUUCACCACGUAGUAAAAGCCUACUGUUACCGCGCCGGAAACCACCAGCGAUACGACUGAACACACAAUGUCUCGUAUCCAAAGUAUCAAAUGUUGCCACUUACUAAGGAAGAACUUCGCUCCCAGUUUGUGCACGAAAAGAGGGAGGAUGAUUGAGCCGGGGAUGCACGCGAGGCCAAUGUACACGGUAUGCAGAUAAACAGAAGGAGCAAUUAUCGUGUCGCAUCCGUAAGGAUCAAAGAACGUUGUGUUGUCCGGCAGAGCAGACACUAUGCACACCGACGUGGUCUCGCCUGGAUUUGCGUGUUCAAAUUGCUCAAAUCUGUCGAAUACAAUGUAAACGAGGAUUAACAUUAAAAUAUUGCAAAUUGCAUAGGAUUUUAUAUCAAAGUGAUUCUUGUGGCCUAAAAACUCAAAAGAACCGAUACGAUGUGAAUGUUGCUUAAUGAUUGAGGAUUACCUGGUGAACAAUUCUGGAAACCAGACCAUCAGAGUGUAAUAGCUGCUGGUGAGCC